rnacentral:SRP_RNA from 1 species
GCUGGGCAUCAUGGCAGGUGCCUGUAAUCCCAGCUACUCUGGAGGCUGAGGCAGGAGAAUCACUUGAACCCAGGAGGCGGAGGUUGCAGUGAGCUGAGAUUGUGCCACUGCAGUCCAGCCUGGGUGACAGAGUGAGACCCUGUCUCAA